ensembl:lncRNA
CCCAUUUAUUAUUAAUACUGACCAAAUUUGAUUUAAAACCUUUUAGAUAUGUACGUUACUACAUUUACCUUUUCGGUAUACAAUUUUUCAAGUACAGUUAAAACCAGGUAGUCUGGGAAAAGUAAGCCUCUACUUGAAGCUUACAAACUGUACGCCUCAACGGUUUCCCUUAGCCCCGGUCUCCUCUCCCCUCCUGUCCCGGGAGUGUCUGUCCCGGGGACAGCAGAGGGUGUCCUGCGCUGCCGAGGGGGACGGACCCCACUACAGCUGGAGUCUAGACCGACUCCCGCUGAACGCCACGCGUCUCCUCUCUGGACACAGUAACGCUAGUGACAUCACUCUGGAGCCGGGCCUGUCGGGGCUGAUCACCUGCUCGGUCCGCAACAACGUGAGCGCAGCCGCGGCUAACCUAGCCCUGUCUGUGUGUGACCACCCCAUCCCUAUCGUCGCUCGUUAUCUGAUGGUGGUGGGGCUGCUGCUAGUAGCAUUGGGAGUCUACUGGGCACUGAAGAAAAAAAGAAAACUUCAAGACCUCAAGACAUCCCGCUGUCCUCCAUGGCGACCGGGGGAGCAGGGGAGUGAGGAGGAGAACGGCUGUUCCAGGUGGCUCCAGGCCUCAGGCGGACGCUGGAAGCUAAAGGGCGUCCUAUCCUAGCUGUCUCUGUUGUAUACAGGGAAUGGGUUAACCUAGUGAUUGUAAGUGCUUGUCACUUGGUUCUCUGAACAUCCUUCUGUACUGACAGCGAUAUAUACAGUUUCUAAGUCGCUUCGGAUACAAGCGUCUGCUAAAUGCCCUAAAUGUAAAUGUUAAUGUAAUUUUUUCAAUUAAUUAAUUAAAUUGAUAGCAUAUCAUAUUGAUUGAAUUUUUUUACUUUGC